UACGGGGGGAGCAAGCGUUGUUCGGAUUUACUGGGCGUAAAGGGCGCGUAGGCGGCCACCGCAAGUCGGUUGUGAAAUCUCUGGGCUUAACCCAGAAAGGUCAACCGAUACUGCGGGGCUAGAGUGCAGAAGGGGCAACUGGAAUUCUCGGUGUAGCGGUGAAAUUCGUAGAUAUUCGCAAGAACACCAGUGGCGAAGGCGGCUCACUGGCCCGGUACUGACGCUGAGGUGCGAAAGCGUGGGGAGCAAACAGG
rnacentral:rRNA from 1 species